GUCCUUCACCCACUUCUUCUCUCUCCCUCUCUCACUAUACGACUGUUCAUGAAUGGUCUUCUUCGUGAUCUUCCACAGCUUUCUUGAACUGUGCCUGUAAAGGCUUCAUGCAAACAGAAUUUCCACCAACACAAUUCAAGAAAGCUGUGGAAAAUCACUGAGAUGAUCAGCCGCAUCGCCACCCGUACUCUUUGCUAGUACAGUCAACCAAUACAUCAGGUUCCGAUGGCGAAAUUUCAGAUCUCUUCCGAUGAUUUGCUCCGAUCUGACAAAAACAGACGCUCACGGUUACAUUUUGAUUACGUUUUCUAGAUGCAUUAUCGAAUAACGUCGAUAAAUCUGAUACAUGUAAUCUGAUGCGAUUUCUUUUUUCCCCCCUUUGUGGUUCUUAAUUCUCAAUUUCAAUAGGUUCUGCGAUUUUUCACGCAUUUGGUGUUUUCGGUUCUUCUGAACAGCAAUCCUUGAACUGCCCAGUUUGGUAAAAGAGACAAGCAGGCGUGACGCACAAGAAGGUGAAAAGUGUUGAAAUUAGUUGAAGCGGAGGCUUCGUUUUUCCUCUGAAACAGAAAAGUAAUUGUACGUUGCCAUUGUCACUCAUUGUCAAUACGUACAAGCAAGCUUCCCCCACCAUCCACCUCUUCUUCCUUCUUUCUUCUUGUUUUUCUUUUAAAUUCUUCUGUUUUCUACUUUUCUUCUUCCUCUUCAAUGUAUCACAGCUUCUUUUCUUGACCCAAAGAUAUGGGAUUUUGUUAUCACACUGCUGGGAUAAAACAAGUAAUUGAGAAUCAUUUUUGAAUUACUGGGUAUGAAUAAUUCAUAUGCUGUGAGAGAUUUUUUUUGUUCUGCAGACAAUCAUUAGCCCA